rnacentral:tRNA from 1 species
GGGGCUGUGGCUCAGUGGUAGAGUACUUACCUCGCAUUUGUAAGGCACUGGGUUUGACCCUCAGCACCA